GGGAGACAGGGUGAGUCAGACAGGUGUAGUUGGACGUUGAAUGAAUGAAUGCACGAAUUUACGGGAAGGCAAGGGUGAGCAUGAGAGCCACAGAGAUGGAACAGAAAGAGAGACAGUGAGAAAUAGGGAACUGAAGACACACACGCCAAGGCAGGAGAACCGCUUGAGUCCAGGAGUUUGAGACCAGCCUGGGCAACAUUGUGAAAUCCCAUCUUUCCAAAAGAGAGAUGGAGAAAUGGACGUGUUGUGGGAGAGAGAGAGAGAGAAAUGCGUAGGGCUCAACACACUGUAGGUCUUCAGGAAAUGCCUGCAGAGCAGAAAAGUUGAU
rnacentral:lncRNA from 1 species